UACGUAGGGUGCGAGCGUUAAUCGGAAUUACUGGGCGUAAAGGGUGCGCAGGCGGCUCGGAAAGAAAGAUGUGAAAUCCCAGGGCUCAACCUUGGAACUGCAUUUUUAACUACCGGGCUAGAGUGUGUCAGAGGGAGGUGGAAUUCCGCGUGUAGCAGUGAAAUGCGUAGAUAUGCGGAGGAACACCGAUGGCGAAGGCAGCCUCCUGGGAUAACACUGACGCUCAGGCACGAAAGCGUGGGGAGCAAACAGG
rnacentral:rRNA from 1 species